GACGAACGCUGGCGGCGUGCUUAACACAUGCAAGUCGAACGGUGAACCUCUUCGUUGGGGCUCAGGGGCGAACGGGUGAGUAACACGUAGGCAACCUCCCCCCGCCUCUGAGAUAACUACAAGUAAUUGGGGCUAAUACCGAUUGUUCACCGCUGCCCGCCUGGGUUGUGGUUGAGAGGGUUUCCGGCUGGGGAUGGGCUCACGGCCUAUCAGCUUGUUGGUGUGGUAGCGGCCUACCAAGGCGACGACGGGUAGCCGGCCUGAGAGGGUGACCGGCCACACUGGGACUGAGACACGGCCCAGACUCCUACGGGAGGCAGCAGUGGGGAAUAUUGCGCAAUGGGCGGAAGCCUGAUGCAGCGACGCCGCGUGGGGGAUGACGGCCUUCGGGUUGUAAACCUCUUUUAGCAGGGAAGAAGCGAAAGUGACGGUACCUGCAGAAGAAGCGCCGGCUAACUACGUG
rnacentral:rRNA from 1 species